rnacentral:rRNA from 1 species
CAUGCCGCGUGAGUGAAGAAGGCCUUCGGGUUGUAAAGCUCUUUUGUCAGGAAAGAAACACCGGCUCUAACACAGUUCGGGAAUGACGGUACCUGAAGAAUAAGCACCGGCUAACUACGUGCCAGCAGCCGCGGUAAUACGUAGGGUGCGAGCGUUAAUCGGAAUUACUGGGCGUAAAGCGUGCGCAGGCGGUUGUACAAGACAGGCGUGAAAUCCCCGGGCUUAACCUGGGAAUGGCGCCUGUGACUGUACGGCUAGAGUGUGUCAGAGGGGGGUAGAAUUCCACGUGUAGCAGUGAAAUGCGUAGAUAUGUGGAGGAAUACCAAUGGCGAAGGCAGCCCCCUGGGAUAACACUGACGCUCAUGCACGAAAGCGUGGGGAGCAAACAGGAUUAGAUACCCUGGUAGUCCACGCCCUAAACGAUGCUGACUAGUUGUUCGGGAUUUACAUCCUGAGUAACGUAGCUAACGCGUGAAGUCAGCCGCCUGAGGAGUACGGGUCGCAAGAUUAAAACUCAAAGGAAUUGACGGGGACCCGCACAAGCGGGUGGGAAUGAU